CAUGAAGCUGGAUUCGCUAGUAAUCGCGCAUCAGCCAUGGCGCGGUGAAUACGUUCCCGGGCCUUGUACACACCGCCCGUCAAGCCAUGGGAGCCGGGAGUGCCUGAAGUGCGUGACCGCAAGGAGCGCCCUAAGGCAAGACCGGUGACUGGGGCUAAGUCGUAACAAGGUAAC
rnacentral:rRNA from 1 species